rnacentral:rRNA from 1 species
GAUGAACGCUGGCGGCGUGCUUAACACAUGCAAGUCGAACGGAGAAAGGGUAGCUUGCUAUCUUUCUUAGUGGCGGACGGGUGAGUAACGCGUGGGUAACCUGCCCUUUGCAGGGGGAUAACAGUGAGAAAUCACUGCUAAUACCGCAUACCAACUUCUUUCGCAUGAAAGAAGUUUGAAAGAUUUAUCGGCAAAGGAUGGACCCGCGUUGGAUUAGCUAGUUGGUGAGAUAACAGCCCACCAAGGCAACGAUCCAUAGCCGGCCUGAGAGGGUGAACGGCCACACUGGGACUGAGACACGGCCCAGACUCCUACGGGAGGCAGCAGUGGGGAAUAUUGCACAAUGGGCGAAAGCCUGAUGCAGCGACGCCGCGUGAAGGAUGAAGGUCUUCGGAUUGUAAACUUCUAUCAGCAGGGAAGAAAGGGCCUAUGGCCUAUGACGGUACCUGACUAAGAAGCCCCGGCUAACUACGUGCCAGCAGCCGGGUAAACAUACUCGUA